AAGCCUGUGUGUGCAAACGCCUUCAGCAGUACCGUGAGUGAAAAUUCGUGCUCAGUACGCCCGUAUUGUGUCUGCGUCGAACUUUUCUACAAAGCUCCCCUUCCGAACGCCUCGCGGAGCAACGUGUAAAUUCUUUACCGCUUCAACUGUCCCCCACGACACAUCCCCCACGAAAACAGAAUGCCAGCCGCAGCACCCCCAGAAAAUGGUGGCGGAGCACCGAAAACCGAGCUGCAGGAGCUGCAGCUCAAACAGCAGCAGGUGGUCGAUGAGUCCUUGGACAGUACCCGCCGUAUGUUGGCACUAUGCGAGGAGAGCAAGGAAGCCGGGAUUCGAACCCUGGUGGCCCUUGACGAUCAGGGAGAGCAAUUGGACCGAAUCGAGGAGGGCAUGGAUCAGAUCAAUGCCGACAUGCGCGAGGCGGAGAAAAACUUGAGCGGCAUGGAAAAGUGCUGCGGUAUCUGUGUCUUGCCAUGUAACAAAAGCGCCUCAUUCAAAGAGGACGACGGUACCUGGAAGGGCAACGAUGAUGGUAAGGUGGUCAACAAUCAGCCCCAGCGUGUGAUGGACGACCGUAACGGGUUGGGUCCGCAGGCCGGCUACAUUGGAAGGAUCACGAACGAUGCCCGAGAAGACGAGAUGGAGGAAAACAUGGGCCAGGUGAACACGAUGAUCGGAAAUCUGCGUAACAUGGCGCUCGACAUGGGCUCCGAGCUCGAAAAUCAGAACAGGCAGAUUGACAGAAUCAAUCGCAAGGGCGGAUCGAAUGAGGACAGGAUAAAGGCGGCUAAUGAAAAAGCGCACUCACUUCUCAAAUAAAAAGGGUACCGAGUAUAUAUCUAUCCGUGCAUAUAGACGAUAUACACACCUAUCUAUACAUAUAUAUAUACAUAUACUUGUAUGGUUAUCGUUAUUAUUUUUACCACUCUAUUUCGGAUAUCGAAUCGAAACGAACAAAAAUGGAGAUUCCAAUGCGACCAGGAUAGCAGCGGCCAACGAACGGGCCCAUGAUUUACUCAAGUAAGGCGGCUCCACCUCGGGCCGAAGUACGCGGAGGGCCGCAUGAUAGUGCUGGCAGACGAUCGACGGAGGAACGGAGAGCAAGCGAAAGGCAACAAGAAAUUGGGUCGCUAUCCGAGGUCGGCUGAAGGUUUUGUUCCGUUACUCCGAGUAAGUUGAAAGGUUGAUGGAAGGAUCCAUCACCAUCCGAUUGACCACUGGUUGAGCGCAUGAUAGGGUGAACUGAAUCGUUGACACACGCCGAAGGAGAGGAUUGCUGUCGAUUAGAUUGCUUCGCGUUUAUAUAAAAUAUACAGCUGCUGUUUGCCCGGUAGUGUGUAAUGAAGCGAAGCCGUGCAUGCAGCAAAAAACGAGCGUGCUUAAUCGAGACUAAAGUUAAUGGAAAAGGAUAAAAUCUUAACAUUACCAAACAAAACCAUAUAACAACAGCAAACAACAAAAGGGAGGCACACGAAUGUAACGACAACGAUAGUAUCCUUAGGUUUCAUUGGGUUGUGCGUUUCUUUGUUUUCCUCGUUUUGUGAGGAUAGGCCAGGCCACAGGUUGCGGCCAAAAGGCGUGUGUUGCGUUCGGUGUGUAGCCUUCUUACCUUUACCGCCGUCGGGGUCCCUACGGAGACGAACCAUCUCGAACCCACGUUACGUUACGUUCAGGCUACUCGGGACCAAAGUAUCCUGUCCUUUUUCAUUUAUCGCUUCUCCGAGCAUUGUUGUUAACGCUUGUUAGUAGCGUGUUUGUAGCAGCGGCAAAAGGUGGCUGUCGUACUAGUCGUACGCUGUGAGGAAAUUUGUUGUUUUUUGUGUUAUUAGUUUAUUUGUCCAAUUUUACCAUUAGUACUCAACGUAGGAUAGGAUAACAAUCAUCUUCCUGGUAGAUUACAACGUUGUUGCGAACGGAAUGGUGUGAAGGGGUCACAACGCGAACUUUGUCUCUCCGCAGCCGUAGAUCUAUCGCAUUUCUGUGUUGGGGGAUCGCAGUUGGGUCUCUUUCAAGGAUCACAAGUCACGUUUCUGUCUUCACGCAUCGCGCUGACUGUUGUCUCAAAACAAAGCUACAUAACCAGCCUACUCUGUUUGUUCGCCGGACUCUGCUUUUGUGUGCGGUUUGCUUUUAUUCCCACCGAGCGAUAGAAAACCAUGUUUUGAAGGCAUCGAACACUCAUCCGAAGAUUGUGGAACACAGCCGAGUGCAUGUUUCGUGGGAAACACAACGUGUUAGGCGAACCACUUUUUAACCAUAGAUUGGAUAGCGGGAAAAGCGUCGGUCAAAAAAUUACCACCAUGAGCCCCGAGCAGGGAACGGUAUCCUAAACUGUUUAACUCUUAUUCUACCACCCAAACUAAUAUCGACGCAAUGGAGUGUGCCGUCCGUGUGCGGGCUACAGGACACUUCUCUUCCUAGAUCGUAGAGCAGUAAAUAUUUAAAUAGCCACUAGUCUCUCUGUCGCUCUCUGUGUCUCACUCGCACUAUCUCUCUCGCUCUCGCGCUAAGAAAUUGAACUCCACCCGAAACCCAGCUUCUGUUUUCACUACCUGGCCACAGGAUUUGGGAAAUGCAUUGUACUCUCCACAUCUGCAGUCUUCCCCGCAGUCGAUGUGAUGCAACAUUUUACGCGAUACCACGUUUCGUUUUUUGUCGGGCUCCCGCGAAAAAGGGCACGCACCAACCAGCAGCAGCAGCAGCAGAAACAGAACAAGAAUUGGUACCACAAAUUAGCGGGAAAACACUCAAUUUAAAGAUCUAACCGUGUAGUGUAGAUAAUUAGAUUCACUUCGUUCCGUUCGCAGUAAGUACACAGUCUUGCAUAUAUAGUGUUGUGUGUCCACUUGCUCCUCUUGCUCUAACCGACUUUUGAUGAGUAGUGUUGAACAGUUGGAAGUAUCAUUUAGCCGCGCACCGCGCUCACGACGCGUGCUCUUGGGCCGCGUUCGGCGGUCGCGACCGAUUUGGCGAAACACACAGACACAAUUUUAACACUUCAUAAUAGCAUCAAUCUUACAACCAGAGGCCAACUCGCUACUAGUAGAUUGACUGCCUGGCUGGCUGGGGUCGCGGGAAGGAAUGAGGACAGCUUACAGCUGAUGCUUCCUAUCCCCUAAGUCGCCGCCGGCCGGCCUGGUCCUGGCAGAAGCUAAAUUCAAAUCUCUAAAAAGAAAAAAAAUUAAAGACACACGAAAGGGAGGUCCUUUAAAUAUAAAUAUACAAAUUUAUUAUACAAUUAUGGACGAUAACAAACGUAUAUUUACUCUGCCUGAGCCGACGAGAGUGAAAUGGGUGGUGGGAUCGUUAUAAUAUCAUAUCAAACGAGCAGAAGCGCGCGUGAAAAGAGAAGACUCUUCCCCGCAACACACGCAGUGAGCAGCAGAAGCAACAGCAGCAGUAGAGAAAUCUCAGAUCAAAAAACAUUAAAUUACAAACCUAAAAACAAACCAACUAGUAAACCAAGAACACCGAAGUGAAUUGUAUCGCAAAGCAAGCAAAUAAAGUGGAGAAUAAAUGAAGUAACAAGGGGG